rnacentral:snoRNA from 14 species
GAGAGGUGGAGAGAGAGAGAGGAGGGAGAGAGAGAGGUGGAGAGAGAGGGGGGGGAGGUAGAGAGAGAUAGAGAGAGAGAGAGAGAGAGAGUUUACUGGCUCUGUUCUACCUCCCUCUCUCUCUCUCUCUCUCUCCCCUUUCUCUGCCUCCUCUUUGUCCACAUCUCUCUCUCCCUCU